rnacentral:rRNA from 1 species
UACGUAGGGUGCGAGCGUUGUCCGGAAUCACUGGGCGUAAAGGGCGCGUAGGCGGCUCAUGAAGGCUGUGGUGAAAGUCCGGGGCUCAACCUCGGAUCGGCCGUGGCGACUCGUGGGCUGGAGCACUGUAGAGGCGGGUGGAAUUCCGGGUGUAGCGGUGGAAUGCGUAGAGAUCCGGAAGAACACCAGUGGCGAAGGCGGCCCGCUGGGCAGUGGCUGACGCUGAGGCGCGAAAGCGUGGGGAGCAAACAGG